UAUUAUUAUUUGAGGAUCUGUAUCUCCAACAAGCAAGCUUUGCUUUAAAGAUUGAUAAUAAUGUAAAAUGUCUCUCUAUAAUGCUGAUAAAUUGUCUCUGCAGUUUCAACAUCAACCACCACUGAAGAAACUACUACAACAGCCAUGAAAACCCUUUCAACAUCAACCACUACUGAACAAACUACUUCAACAACCAUGAAAACCUGUGAGUAAUUGAGUUUGUAAAUCAGUUAUUCUUACUCCAUUCUGAAUGUCCUGAAAACGACAAUCAUUCUUUUAAGCUCAUGAGUAUUUGUCGAUCAUUUACUACACAUACGGUACAUCACCACACAUUUCACAAUGUCUUUUCACCAGCAUUAACCGUAAUGUCCACUUCUGAGAGUACAACAUACAGUAAAACUGGUAAGUUGCUAAUAAUAGCUUUUCUGGUUAUUUUAGAUUAAAUCUGAUAAAUUAUUUCCUUCUAAAAACUGAUGGCUCUUGCAAUGUUAUUUUUAUAUUAGCAGACCUCCAAACCAAGAUAAACCCACCAAUCAGUACAGCAAAGGAAACCAUGAAUACAUUGUUAAUAGUGCUGGUCUCCAUUGGUGUUGCUGGAAGUUUGUCUGGACUCAUGGGACUCAUCUGUCUGUGCCGGUUUGCAUGUAAGUAUUUUAAUGUCAGUUUAUUUUUAACAGAAAUUUGAAGUGAUACACAGCAAUAUAAUGCAGCUCAAUGAUUUCUAGGUAAAAAAAGAAGAAAACCGUAAGUUUUUGUUUCAUGCAUUCAGUUCAGUAGUCUGUGAUAUUUUGUUUUUCUUUUAGCAAAAAAUAAUUUUGUAGUCAAGUAGCUGUGUGUGUAGAUGUUUAGCUUCCUAUCUGAUAUAUGCAUGCAUGAAAGGUGUCAUAAAUAUCAAUAUUUGAUUCUUAGCAUUAAAAUGAGAUCAAUAAAAACAGAUGUGCCCAUUCAAGAAACUGGUAUAAGUUGUUCUGGAUCUGCAGAGAUGUAUUCUCUGAUCACUUCUGUACCAGAAACAUCUCAGCCCAUAUCUGCAGGCCUCGAACACCCAGAAUCACAUCUGGACAGUACAGCAGAUCCCACAAAACACAUUAUGUCUGUAAAUGUAAUUUACCAGCCCUCAGGUAAGGAAAUGUUUCUUUGUCAUAUCAUGAUGAGGAUUUGAAUCUCUCUCUUUCUUUUCACUUAAGAGUUAUAUAUAUAUAUGACUACUAUAAAAACCACUGUGGUUUCGCAACUCGAAACUUCCUCACUAGCACAAAAGCUACAAGCCCACAUUUAUGUUCUAAAAAACCUAGCUGCCCAAACACAGUGUGCUAUGGAGGAAGUGGGGUAUAUAUUAAAUUCAUCACAACACUGUUGCACAGAAUGAGUCUGAGAAGAGAUGAUUCUGCUGUGCAAAGUGUCAAAGUUUGAAAUAUACAUGGUAAAGUUAAUGAUAGAGACCUUGUUCAUCUAGGCCAACACAUAUUUGUUAAAUGGAUAUGACUGGUUUAAAUGGUUCUGCAUUGCAUUACAGAUGUUUUGAUCAAUAAACAACAGAAACAGGGAAAUCCA
ensembl:lncRNA